UACGUAGGGUGCAAGCGUUGUCCGGAAUUAUUGGGCGUAAAGGGCUCGUAGGCGGUUUGUCGCGUCGGGAGUGAAAACCCAGGGCUCAACCCUGGGCCUGCUUCCGAUACGGGCAGACUAGAGGUAUGCAGGGGAGAAUGGAAUUCCUGGUGUAGCGGUGAAAUGCGCAGAUAUCAGGAGGAACACCGGUGGCGAAGGCGGUUCUCUGGGCAUUACCUGACGCUGAGGAGCGAAAGUGUGGGGAGCGAACAGG
rnacentral:rRNA from 1 species